rnacentral:rRNA from 1 species
UGACGGUACCUGAAGAACAAGCCACGGCUAACUACGUGCCAGCAGCCGCGGUAAUACGUAGGUGGCGAGCGUUAUCCGGAUUUACUGGGUGUAAAGGGCGUGUAGGCGGGUCUGCAAGUCGGAUGUGAAAUUCCCAGGCUUAACUUGGGCGGGUCAUCCGAAACUGCGGAUCUUGAGUACUGGAGAGGAUAGUGGAAUUCCUAGUGUAGCGGUAAAAUGCGUAGAUAUUAGNAGGAACACCAGUGGCGAAGGNGGCUAUCUGGACAGUAACUGACGCUGAGGNGCGAAAGCUAGGGUAGCGAACGGGAUUAGAUACCCCGGGUAGUCCUAGCCGUAAA